AGCGAACGCUGGCGGCAGGCUUAACACAUGCAAGUCGAGCGGGCCUUUCGGGGUCAGCGGCGGACGGGUGAGUAACGCGUGGGAACGUGCCCUCUGGUUCGGAAUAACUCAGGGAAACUUGAGCUAAUACCGGAUACGCCCUUUUGGGGAAAGGCUUGCUGCCGGAGGAUCGGCCCGCGUCUGAUUAGCUAGUUGGUGAGGUAACGGCUCACCAAGGCGACGAUCAGUAGCUGGUCUGAGAGGAUGAUCAGCCACACUGGGACUGAGACACGGCCCAGACCCCUAGGGGGGGCAGGGGGGGAAAAUUUGGCACGGGGGGCGAACGCGUGACCCACCUGCGCCGUGGGAGUUAUGAGGCUUUGGGGGGUAAAAAGCUUUUUUACCGGGGACUAAAAAGGGGACCGGGGGGAAAAACCCCCGGGAAAACUGC
rnacentral:rRNA from 1 species